CGUCGAAGGUGGGGCUGAUGACUGGGGUGAAGUCGUAACAAGGUAUCCGUACCGGAAGGUGCGGAUGGAUCACCUCCUAACAGGGAGACAACACAAUGAUUUUGAUGCCUGAGUGCUUUUAUUCUUAGGCCGAAAUCCUGUCACCUUAGGUCGAUCGGUACCUCAGCUUUGAAGUCAAGGAUCAGCAGCAAUGUUGAUUGCUUGAUGGAGAUUUUCAGUUCCUAAACUUUGUCUAGGUCACACCCCAAAAGGGAUGAGACUCCUGGGCCAUUAGCUCAGGUGGUUAGAGCGCACCCCUGAUAAGGGUGAGGUCCCUGGUUCAAGUCCAGGAUGGCCCAUUCGGUGUUGGGGGUUUAGCUCAGUUGGUAGAGCGCCUGCUUUGCAAGCAGGAUGUCAGGAGUUCGAGUCUCCUAACCUCCACUGACCGAACUUGAUUCCCACCUCCAAUUUUUUUGGAGUUGAGCUCGAUUGGAGUGUGAUUUAGAUGUGUCCGCUGGAUGACCCCAGCUUCCUGUCAUUCCAAGUUUUAGGUUGAAUCCUUGAAUUUGGUUGAUAAGAUGCUGGGCUCGGAUCAAAUAAUCAAGCAAUUGAUGAUUUGAUUUGAAGUUCUAGCAGAACCUUGACAACUGCAUAGGUGAGUCUGGAAAAAACAAAGCAUCUUACAGAUGCAUUGUUUUGAAUCCGAUCUUCUGAAAGGGAGAUUGGAUCUAGAACAAUGAAAAUUCUUUUGAGCAAGAGCCGAGACUCUUGAGCGUUCUUUGAUUGGUGUCGAGCCAAUCAGAGUUUGAUCUUGUUUUUAGCAAUAAAAACUUGAGAAUCUGCUUUCAACGGUGGUAAGCGUUCAGGAGGUUAAUUGGUCAAGCUACAAAGGGCUCACGG
rnacentral:misc_RNA from 1 species